UACGGGGGGAGCAAGCGUUGUUCGGAUUUACUGGGCGUAAAGGGCGCGUAGGCGGCCACCGCAAGUCAGUUGUGAAAUCUCUGGGCUUAACCCAGAACGGUCAGCUGAUACUGCGGGGCUAGAGUGCAGAAGGGGCAACUGGAAUUCUCGGUGUAGCGGUGGAAUGCGCAGAUAUCAGGAGGAACACCAAUAGCGAAGGCAGCUCGCUGGGACGUUACUGACACUGAGGCGCGAAAGCGUGGGGAGCGAACAGG
rnacentral:rRNA from 1 species